rnacentral:rRNA from 1 species
UGGGGAAUUUUGCACAAUGGGGGAAACCCUGAUGCAGCGACGCCGCGUGAUUUAGAAGGCCUUCGGGUUGUAAAAAUCUUUUCUAUGGGAAGAAAAUGACAGUACCAUAGGAAUAAGGACCGGCUAAUUACGUGCCAGCAGCCGCGGUAAUACGUAGGUCCCGAGCGUUGUCCGGAUUUAUUGGGCGUAAAGCGAGCGCAGGCGGUUAGAAAAGUCUGAAGUGAAAGGCAGUGGCUCAACCAUUGUAGGCUUUGGAAACUGUUUAACUUGAGUGCAGAAGGGGAGAGUGGAAUUCCAUGUGUAGCGGUGAAAUGCGUAGAUAUAUGGAGGAACACCAGUGGCGAAGGCGACUCUCUGGUCUGUAACUUACGCUGAGGCUCGAAAGCGUGGGUAGCAAACAGG